UGCUCGAGUGGCGAACGGGUGAGUAACACGUGAGUGACCUGCCCUUGACUUUGGGAUAACUUCAGGAAACUGGGGCUAAUACCGGAUAGGAGCUCCUGCUGCAUGGUGGGGGUUGGAAAGUUUCGGCGGUUGGGGAUGGACUCGCGGCUUAUCAGCUUGUUGGUGGGGUAGUUGCUUACCAAGGCUUUGACGGGUAGCCGGCCUUAGAGGGUGACCGGCCACAUUGGGACUGAGAUACGGCCCAG
rnacentral:rRNA from 1 species